rnacentral:rRNA from 1 species
UGGAUCCAGACUUUGAUCAUGGCUCAGGACGAACGCUGGCGGCGUGCUUAACACAUGCAAGUCGAACGAAGCUUGACGAAUGAUUUCUUCGGAAUGAAUUCCGAUAUGACUGAGUGGCGGACGGGUGAGUAACGCGUGAGGAACCUGCCCUUCAGAGGGGGAUAGUGUUUGGAAACGAACAGUAAUACCGCAUAAUGUAUUUUUACCGCAUGAUAGAAAUACCAAAGAUUUAUCGCUGAAGGAUGGCCUCGCGUCUGAUUAGAUAGUUGGUGGGGUAACGGCCUACCAAGUCGACGAUCAGUAGCCGGACUGAGAGGUUGAACGGCCACAUUGGGACUGAGACACGGCCCAGACUCCUACGGGAGGCAGCAGUGGGGAAUAUUGCACAAUGGGGGAAACCCUGAUGCAGCAACGCCGCGUGAAGGAAGACGGUUUUCGGAUUGUAAACUUCUGUUCUUAGUGAAGAAAAAUGACGGUAGCUAAGGAGCAAGCCACGGCUAACUACGUGCCAGCAGCCGCGGUAAUACGUAGGUGGCAAGCGUUGUCCGGAAUUACUGGGUGUAAAGGGGGCGCAGGCGGGAGAGCAAGUCAGUUGUGAAAUCCAUGGGCUUAACCCAUGAACUGCAGUUGAAACUGUUCUUCUUGAGUGAAGUAGAGGUUGGCGGAAUUCCGAGUGUAGCGGGGAAAUGCGUAGAUAUUCGGAGGAACACCGGUGGCGAAGGCGGCCAACUGGGCUUUUACUGACGCUGAGGCCCGAAAGUGUGGGGAGCAAACAGGAUUAGAUACCCUGGUAGUCCACACUGUAAACGAUGAUAACUAGGUGUGGGGGGACUGACCCCUUCUGUGCCGCAGCUAACGCAAUAAGUUAUCCACCUGGGGAGUACGACCGCAAGGUUGCAACUCAAAUGAAUUGACGGA